rnacentral:rRNA from 1 species
GAUGAACGCUGGCGGCGUGUCUAAUACAUGCAAGUCGAGCGAACAGAUGAGGAGCUUGCUCCUCUGACGUUAGCGGCGGACGGGUGAGUAACACGUGGAUAACCUACCUAUAAGACUGGGAUAACUUCGGGAAACCGGAGCUAAUACCGGAUAAUAUAUUGAACCGCAUGGUUCAAUAGUGAAAGACGGUUUUGCUGUCACUUAUAGAUGGAUCCGCGCCGCAUUAGCUAGUUGGUAAGGUAACGGCUUACCAAGGCAACGAUGCGUAGCCGACCUGAGAGGGUGAUCGGCCACACUGGAACUGAGACACGGUCCAGACUCCUACGGGAGGCAGCAGUAGGGGAUCUUCCGCAAUGGGCGAAAGCCUGACGGAGCAACGCCGCGUGAGUGAUGAAGGUCUUCGGAUCGUAAAACUCUGUUAUUAGGGAAGAACAAAUGUGUAAGUAACUAUGCACGUCUUGACGGUACCUAAUCAGAAAGCCACGGCUAACUACGUG